AAGGGGGGACGGAGAAGGCUAUGUUGGCCGGGCGACGGUUGUCCCGGUUUAAGCGUGUAGGUGUGUGUUCCAGGUAAAUCCGGUUCACUUUAACACUGAGGCGUGACGACGAGGCACUACGGUGCUGAAGCAACAAAUGCCCUGCUUCCAGGAAAAGCCUCUAAGCAUCAGGUAACAUCAAAUCGUACCCCAAACCGACACAGGUGGUCAGGUAGAGAAUACCAAGGCGCUUGAGAGAACUCGGGUGAAGGAACUAGGCAAAAUGGUGCCGUAACUUCGGGAGAAGGCACGCUGACACGUAGGUGAAGUGAUUUACUCAUGGAGCUGAAGUCAGUCGAAGAUACCAGCUGGCUGCAACUGUUUAUUAAAACACAGCACUGUGCAAACACGAAAGUGGACGUAUACGGUGUGACGCCUGCCCGGUGCCGGAAGGUUAAUUGAUGGGGUCAGCGCAAGCGAAGCUCCUGAUCGAAGCCCCGGUAAACGGCGGCCGUAACUAUAACGGUCCUAAGGUAGCGAAAUUCCUUGUCGGGUAAGUUCCGACCUGCACGAAUGGCGUAAUGAUGGCCAGGCUGUCUCCACCCGAGACUCAGUGAAAUUGAACUCGCUGUGAAGAUGCAGUGUACCCGCGGCAAGACGGAAAGACCCCGUGAACCUUUACUAUAGCUUGACACUGAACAUUGAGCCUUGAUGUGUAGGAUAGGUGGGAGGCUUUGAAGUGUGGACGCCAGUCUGCAUGGAGCCGACCUUGAAAUACCACCCUUUAAUGUUUGAUGUUCUAACGUGGACCCGUAAUCCGGGUUGCGGACAGUGUCUGGUGGGUAGUUUGACUGGGGCGGUCUCCUCCUAAAGAGUAACGGAGGAGCACGAAGGUUGGCUAAUCCUGGUCGGACAUCAGGAGGUUAGUGCAAUGGCAUAAGCCAGCUUGACUGCGAGCGUGACGGCGCGAGCAGGUGCGAAAGCAGGUCAUAGUGAUCCGGUGGUUCUGAAUGGAAGGCCAUCGCUCAACGGAUAAAAGGUACUCCGGGGAUAACAGGCUGAUACCGCCCAAGAGUUCAUAUCGACGGCGGUGUU
rnacentral:rRNA from 1 species